GCCAUUUUGGGGGCGGGGGGAAAGUAGCCUGUCUGUCAGUCCGUGUGCUGCAGGGGCAAUGCCCCCCUGGCAGUGCUGACUGUGUAUUUGCUGCUCGGCCCCAGUGCAAAGAUAAUGUGUGGGGGAUUGGGACGAAUCUCAUCUGUUGGACUCCCUUCACAGGUGACUCAGAAGCAGAAUGAAUCACAGCGCGUAGCACUCCAAGAAGACAGGACCUGGUCGCUGUAGGAAGGAGCUGACGGGCACUCGGGGAGACAUCUUCACACUGUGGGGCUUGAAGACAUGGCAUAUGCACACUGAAGAAACACUGGCAAAGUCGUGAUCCAUCCCAGCUGCACAGAAAAUAUGAAGUUACUCUGGAUAAUCUCAUUUUUCCUGCUGCAAGACACUGAAGCUUUCCUGCUGCAGAAUGCUAAAAUCAAGCAGUGUUUACAAGCAAGCCCAACAGAUGGGAAUUUAUUGUUGUCGGACUGUAAUUCAGCAUCAGAUUUCCAGGACUGGUUUUGGCAAGGAGAUUCUUUGAGGAAUCAUGGCACGCAGAGCUGCCUCUUAGUGGUGGAAGCCAACAGAGUGCAGACAAGUCCCUGUGACAGCGUGGGCUUCAUGGGCUGGGACUGCUCAAAUUUGCUGCUCUCUCCUCUGGGCAGCAGCCAGGGCUACCUGGUGGCGAGCAAGAAAGGAGUCGCACUCGAUAAUGUGAGAGGUCUCAAGGCUCAAUGGCAAAGUGCUGCAGAGAGGAGUGUGUGUGAGGAGAAAGCAGCACAAUACAGAUACUUACCCGCAGCCCUUGCUAGCACACACGUGUAUGACCACACGGCAUACAAUGAUGUCCUUGUGCUGGGUAUGGAGCCAGAAAAGCUGGAGGAGCUGCUGUGGUUCUUCCGCAGAGAAGACCCAUCAGCAUGGAAUUACUCCAUCCUUGUGCUUUCCUUCGUGGUCGCAAUUUUGGGUUUUGUCCUUCUGGCCAUUAACAUUUCACGAAACAGGAAAAGGAAGAUCCACAAGUAUAAAGAAGCAGCGCAAGCUGCCCAGAAUUCUGGGCUGGAAAGCAAGCAAGCCCUGCUCACAGUGUCAGAAUACAGCCCAGAAAGCCUGCAGAAGCCAGAGCCACUGCCACAGGAUGAGAGGUCAGGAGAGGUGCUGGUUCAGUGGAAGGAUGGGACCGUCACCACUCUGUACAAAGAGACGGCAGACGAUGCCAUGUAACAGCUGAUGUCACACCACCUUAGGGCAAUUAGGCCCUAAGGAGCCUAUCAGAAUGCCUCAAUUCACAGCGACCGAAGAUUGAAAAGUUGAAAAAUGCAUUUUAGCCUGGGGGG
rnacentral:lncRNA from 7 species